AGGACAUUUUGCUGUUUUUGGUUAUUAUCUUGAAUAUUAUUAUAGAUAGAGAUAAACUGUAAACAGCAAUAAUGUACAGCAAAGUAAGACCUAAAAAGAAGUCAACAUGACCAAAAUGGUCAAUUAACCCUAAGGAGUUAUUGCCCUUUAUAGUCAUUUUUUAACAAUUUUCACAAAAUUUGUAAAAUUUUACUAACAUUUUCCACUGUAACUACUGGGCCAAGUUCAUUAUAGAUAGAGAUAAUUGUAAGCAGCAAGAAUGUUCAGUAAAGUAAGAUCUACAAACACAUCACCAUCACCAAACCACAAUUUUGUCUUGAAUCCAUCUGUGUCCUUUGUUUAAUAUUCACAUAGACCAAGGUGAGCGACACAGGCUCUUUAGAGCCUCUAGUU
rnacentral:lncRNA from 1 species